rnacentral:rRNA from 1 species
CACGGGGGGGGCAAGCGUUGUUCGGAAUCACUGGGCGUAAAGGGCGUGCAGGCGGUCAGGUAAGUGGGACGUGAAAUGCCCCGGCUCACCCGGGGACCGGCAUCUCAUACUGCUUGGCUUGAGUACGGGAGAGGAUGUGGGAAUUCCUGGUGUAGCGGUGAAAUGCGUAGAUAUCAGGAGGAACACCGGUGGCGAAGGCGCACAUCUGGCCCGAUACUGACGCUGAGGCGCGAAAGCUAGGGGAGCAAACGGG